rnacentral:rRNA from 1 species
CAGCCGCCGCGGGAAUACAGAGGGUGCGAGCGUUAAUCGGAUUUACUGGGCGUAAAGCGUGCGUAGGCGGCUUUUUAAGUCGGAUGUUAAAUCCCUGAGCUUAACUUAGGAAUUGCAUUCGAUACUGGGAAGCUAGAGUAUGGGAGAGGAUGGUAGAAUUCCAGGUGUAGCGGUGAAAUGCGUAGAGAUCUGGAGGAAUACCGAUGGCGAAGGCAGCCAUCUGGCCUAAUACUGACGCUGAGGUACGAAAGCAUGGGGAGCAAACAGGAUUAGAUACCCCCGUAGUCCCUGUCUCUUAUAA